rnacentral:lncRNA from 1 species
ACUAGGGAGACAAAGACUCUAGGGGAUAAAGGGUUAUGCGUAGGCCAUGCUACGACUUAAAAACUGCUGGGGGACACGAGGAAUUCCAUGAAAAUGGAAAGACUCAGCCGAGGAGAAAAGGAACAUCUGCAGGGGAAACGGAUAAAUCAGAACAAAGCUGAAAUACUCGAACCAAGCAGGAACAACGAAGGAAAUACGCACUUAACUCAACUGGGGAAGAAACAAUCUUCAAC